CCUACGGGUGGCAGCAGUGGGGAAUAUUGCACAAUGGGGGAAACCCUGAUGCAGCGACGCCGCGUGAGUGAAGAAGUAUUUCGGUAUGUAAAGCCCUGUCAGCAGGGAAGAAAAUGCCAGUACCUGACCAAUAAGCCCCGGCUAACUACGUGCCAGCAGCCGCGGUAAUACGUAGGGGGCAAGCGUUAUCCGGAUUUACUGGGUGUAACGGGAGCGUAGGCGGUAAAGCAAUUCAGAAGUGAAAACCCAGGGCCCAACCCUGGGACUGCUUUUGAAACUGACUAGCUGGAGUGCAGGAGAGGUAAGUGGAAUUCCUAGUGUAGCGGUGAAAUGCGUAGAGAUUAGGAGGAACACCAGUGGCGAAGGCGGCUUACUGGACUGUAACUGACGCUGAGGCUCGAAAGCGUGGGGAGCAAACAGGAUUAGAUACCCCUGUAGUC
rnacentral:rRNA from 1 species